AAGGUUUUCUCUCAACAUUUCUUCCCUUUCUUCCUUUCUCAAUCUCAUCACUUUCUCCCCUCUCUUCUCUGAUCAGUCGCCAAUGCGCGUGAACUCGCCGUCGUGCUAUCAUCGUAGGCAGCUUCUUCCGUUGCUGCAUCGCGCUCGUGCCUCAGGUGGAACACUCACCCUCCUCACCACCGGCACGUUACCGGCUCGGGAUGUCCGUUGUUGAGCGAUUUCGGUUGCAAUAUCCCGACAUCGGAGGCUCAUCCAGCAAGUCAGUUUUUAGCGAAAUGGUUCGAGGCACGUGGGGGGUCGCCCGGGAAUGGGCUUAGGCUGUGUUCGCACGUGGGGUGUGGACGUCCGGAGACGAGACGACAUGAGUUCCGUCGGUGUUCCGUUUGUGGUGCCGUUAUUUCGGCAUUUCGGUGCUUCUGGAACUAGAGCAGGUUCUGGAGGAUAUUCGUAUUUGUUUGAACCUAUGUGGUGGGCCGGGAUGAUAAGUAGUAAGUUUCUUCUUCAUUCAUUUCGUUGCUUAUUCAUAUUGUUAUCACAUUCAAACCUCGAGAUGCUAAAACUAGCAGCGUUCUCAAGAAAGCAUUACCAUAUGCACUAGCAUUUGAAUUUUUGUUUGAUGAGUUUUCAAACUCUGCUCGUGUGUGUUUAAUCUCUUUUUUUCUCCAGUUGAUUCCUCUUUUGAGUGUUUCCUUUUCUGAAUUCAAGUAGUUAAUUAAGGUUUAAGAACUCAGAAGAAUUCUUAUCUAUGAAUAUGAAUACUUCAAGUUACAAGGUACAAAAUUAGUUGCCGCUGCUUUUCUCUUCGGAAUUAGGAGUUUCUCUAAUUUUACCAUAUUUAUCACUUCCAAAUUCAAACACAUAGCCAUUGCAUUUUGUUUUGCUGAUCCAAACUUUGUAUUUUGCUGAUCGAAAGAAGACAGAGGAAGCCAUAUGUGAGCUUCUUGUUGGGUUGAAUUAUAUUUGCCGAUAUGAGCAUCAUCAAAAUGCAUUGCUGGAUUGUGCAAGUAGUUUCGACUUUGAAGAUUGUAUGGAGUGACAGUUGCAAUGUAAAGAUUCGUAUCUUACUUGAAGACGAUGGUACAGCGUACAGGCGUAGACAUUUUCUUUCUUUUUUUCUUUUAUUACACAAAGUGCAUCUAGAGGAAUGAUAGUUCAAUAGAAUUGUGAAUACUGAGCAGCUUUACCACACUGAAAGACAUGAUUGAUAGGGAUUUCAAUUCGUCACUGUUUGCUGUUGAGAGGUAUGAAUGUUCAAUCCAAAUUACUCAAUUGCAUCCUUAAUGAAAUGAAACAUAUCCUACCUCUGGAAUCUCUAUAUACUUUGUUGGAUUAAGUACGUUAGUUUGAAAACAUUUCAUAGUCAUAAGUAAUGAAGUAAAAACAUCAGUUCAUCUUUCUGUUAUAUUCCAGUCUAUAAACUGUCUAUAUGUUGCAUUUCCAAGUCUGUUACAUUGAUUAUUGUUCUUGGGACUGUUUUUUUGUUUUGGUCAUGAACUUGUAGAAACUUGAGUAUCUAUUGAAAAGCUGCAACUUUAUUCUUUUCAGGUGGAAAAUUUCUGUUUUUCUCCAUUAAGCUAUGAGGCUGAAUCUUUCAAAUGAAGAUGGAAAAAGGGAGUUAUCACUAAACAAAUGACUGCAAUAGAAGAAAUGGUUGCAAGUGAGUACAAUUAGCCAGACCCUCAUCUUUGUGACAAGAUCUUGAAGUUGGUCAUUUGUGAAGCGUUCUAGUUUGCUAUUAGUUGCAGUUUUAGUUAUUGCUCUCUCAAUAUAUUCUUUUUCUUUCUUUCUUUCUUUCCAAAGGAUGAUCAGUGUAAUAAUUAAGCUUCAUAAUUUCUGUGUUUGGAUUCAAGUUGUAUAUAAAU